UGAGGUAGGCAUGUAGCCCGAAA
rnacentral:miRNA from 1 species